rnacentral:misc_RNA from 1 species
CAUUCAUUUGAACCAAACAAGGCUAUAGGCAGUAACCCUACUUCCCCAGCCGGUGCGAAUCCUUGCGGAGUAAAACGCUGUUCAAAAUAUCACCGAAUUGCUCGACCCGCCCAAAACCACAAUCCUUGAUGAAAAACCAUGGAAACUGAAGAGAUAUUAGCAGAGAUUGGCAACGUGGAGGCCCAGAUUCAAGAUGUCCAAGGCCAGAUACAGGUAUUGCUGGAUCGUCAAGAGAAGUUGUACGAGAGACAAUCCGAACUGAAGGCCCUAUUGGAAGCUUGUAGAGCAUAUGGAAGCCCCAAUGCUGCUGAAGAUGCUCCCCAAACUGCAUUAGAGAACUGGUCGGGGACGUUUGAUUGGGACUCUAAAGCUGAUCAUUAUAAGUUUCAUGUAUUUGGCAUUUCAAAAUAUCGUGCAAAUCAGCGUGAAAUCAUCAAUGCUGUCAUGGGUGGAAGAGAUGUUCUUGUAAUUAUGGCUGCAGGUGGGGGCAAGAGCCUAUGUUACCAGCUUCCAGCUAUUCUUCAUGAUGGGAUUGCUCUUGUUAUUAGUCCAUUGAUUUCUUUAAUUCAAGAUCAGGUUAUGGGUUUAAAGUCUUUAGAUAUUCCAGCAUCAAUGCUUACGUCAACCACUGGUAAGGAGGAAGAAAAGUUUAUAUACAAGGCCCUUGAAAAGGGUGAAGGAGUUAAAAUAUUAUAUGUCACACCUGAAAAGAUAUCAAAGAGCAAAAGAUUUAUGUCAAAACUUGAAAAGUGCUAUCAUGGAGGUCAUCUCUCUCUAAUUGCAAUUGAUGAGGCUCAUUGCUGUAGUCAAUGGGGUCACGACUUUCGCCCUGACUAUAAGAACCUUGGUAUCCUCAAGAUUCAGUUUCCCAAUGUCCCUAUGUUGGCUUUGACCGCAACUGCUACUCGAAAAGUCCAAUAUGAUCUGAUGGAGAUGCUACAUAUACCAAAAUGUGUUAAAUUUGUUAGCACAGUCAACAGGCCAAAUCUCUUUUAUAUGGUUCGAGAGAAGUCAUCAAUUGCUAAGGUUGUUAUUGAUGAAAUUGCUGAAUUUAUUCAAGAAUGUUAUCCAAAUAAUGAAUCUGGGAUAGUAUAUUGCUUCUCCAGAAAGGAAUGUGAACAGGUUGCGGCAGAGUUGCGUGAGAGAGGAAUUUCAGCAGAUUAUUACCAUGCAGAUAUGGAUGUCAAUUCUCGUGAGAAGGUUCAUAUGAGGUGGAGCAAAAAUAAGUUGCAGGUCAUUGUUGGUACGGUGGCAUUUGGUAUGGGAAUCAACAAACCAGAUGUCAGGUUUGUCAUCCAUCACAGCCUGAGUAAAUCAAUGGAAACAUACUACCAGGAAAGUGGUCGAGCUGGAAGGGAUGGAGCCCCUUCUGAAUGUCUACUCUUUUUUAGACCUGCUGAUGUUCCCAGGCAGAGUUCAAUGGUCUUCUAUGAGAAUUCUGGACUGCAGAAUCUUUAUGACAUAGUACGAUAUUGCCAGUCAAAAAGAAAAUGUCGCCGAAGUGCCUUUUUCCAACAUUUUUCUGAGCCACUACGAGACUGCAAUGGGAUGUGUGAUAAUUGUGCAUUCUCCAGCGAUAUUAUAGAAGUUGAUGUGUCUGGUCAUGCAAAAAUUAUGGUUUCAUUGCUGCAAGAUAUGCAAGAGAAUGAUCAACGACUGACAAUGUUGCAAUUGGUGGACAAAAUAAAAAAUAAGCACAAGGAAAUAGGUGCUGAGCUUAAGAGAGAAGAGUUAGAACAGCUUGUGAUACGGCUUAUUCUAGAAAGUGUUUUGAAAGAAGAAUUUCAGCAUACAGCAUAUGCCACAAAUGCUUAUGUGAAAAUAGGACCAUUGGCAAAGCAGGUACUGCAAGGGAAGAUGACUGUCAAGCUUGAGAUUUCUAGUAAACAGAACAAGACUGGUAACAUGAAAAGAGUAAAACACAGCGUUACAUUGUCUGGACUGGAAUUUAAACUUGACAGGUUGCGGAAAGAACUCUCUUCAGGUCAUGGGACAACCCCUCAUUCUAUCUUGUCUGCUCAACAGAUGAGCAUGAUCAGUGCACGGAAACCAAAUUCAAUGGAAGAGCUGGAAAAGAUAAUUGGGAAGCUGAAGACAGAAAGGUACGGGAGUAAAAUUCUCGAAGAAAUCAAGAAGUUCGUAGAAUCUGAUGAGCCUGAUAAUGACAAAUUGAAUAAUGAAGGCAGCAAGAACAGACCUACCAAGAGACGGAAGACUAAGAAUAAUGUUGUUCUCAUUGAAAGCAGCGAUGACGAAUAAGUGAAGAUUUGUCUGACAAUGCAAGUAACCAUAUCCUUACUGUUACCGCCACCCCUACAGAAAGUAGAUCUUAGCCAUGCAAAACUCUUAUGCUCACAAGUAAUUGUCAGUUUCUUGUUUGAUUAUAGAACUUGUGGCUUUCUUGUUUUCCCUGUUCUGUGCAGGGGGGAAAGGAGAGUUGCGGUGGAAGGAAAUUAUUUCUUAGUACAUUGUAUUCCGCUAGCGGCAAUCUUAUUUCCUUGCUUUUUUGGGAAUCACGUGAAACUAUGUUUUGAUAUUGCCAAGUACGUCCUAUGCAGUUAGGAGUGUUUUUAUAAAAAUUAUUAAAUUUUAAUUUUUUUAAUAGAAUUUAUGGAAUUUUAAUUUAAUUUAAUAAAAG